AUUUUGGUUAACACAACACACUAAUGGGAAUGAUCUCUUUCUGCCCCAGAGAGAUACAUAAUACAAGAUCCAGUGCACUCAUUCACUAAACACCAACUUCAAAGCUCACAGUUGUAAUCGUUUAUUUUUUAACACCUGAGCAAAAUUUGGGCAAAAAUAAUGGGGAUUAAGUUACAGUAUAUGAUCAUACAUUGCAUAAGGUACCCUAUUUUUGGCAGGUCCUAUUCUAGCAACAUAAAG